UGCUCAGAAUUUGAACCUGAAUGGCUUGAACUUCUCGAGUCAAUCCACCAGAAAAGGGUUUUCCCCGUCGGCCAGCUUCCUCCGACUGCUUGUGAGACUGAUGACAAGACUGAUUCCUGGAGAUGGAUCAAAGACUGGCUUGACAUGCAAGAAAAGGGUUCUGUAGUGUAUGUAGCAUUUGGUAGUGAAGCAAAACCGAGCCAAGAACAACUUACUGAGUUAGCUCUAGGAAUAGAGCUCUCUGGCAUGCCAUUCUUUUGGGUAAUAAGGAACCGGCGUGGUGUUGCAGACACUGAGUUGACCGAAUUGCCACCUGGAUUUGAGGAGAGAACAAAAGGA
rnacentral:lncRNA from 1 species